rnacentral:rRNA from 1 species
CUGAGAGGAUGACCAGCCACACUGGAACUGAGACACGGUCCAGACUCCUACGGGAGGCAGCAGUGGGGAAUAUUGCACAAUGGGCGCAAGCCUGAUGCAGCCAUGCCGCGUGUAUGAAGAAGGCCUUCGGGUUGUAAAGUACUUUCAGCGGGGAGGAAGGGAGUAAAGUUAAUACCUUUGCUCAUUGACGUUACCCGCAGAAGAAGCACCGGCUAACUCCGUGCCAGCAGCCGCGGUAAUACGGAGGGUGCAAGCGUUAAUCGGAAUUACUGGGCGUAAAGCGCACGCAGGCGGUUUGUUAAGUCAGAUGUGAAAUCCCCGGGCUCAACCUGGGAACUGCAUCUGAUACUGGCAAGCUUGAGUCUCGUAGAGGGGGGUAGAAUUCCAGGUGUAGCGGUGAAAUGCGUAGAGAUCUGGAGGAAUACCGGUGGCGAAGGCGGCCCCC